rnacentral:rRNA from 1 species
UCUCGGAGGCGAUGAAGGACGUGAUAAGCUGCGAAAAGUCACGGGGAGGUGCAAAUAACCUUUGAUCCGUGAAUCUCCGAAUGGGACAACCCGGUAUCCUGAAGGGAUAUCACCUUACUUAAGUAAGGGGCUAACGCAGGGAACUGAAACAUCUUAGUACCUGCAGGAAAAGAAAAUAACAAUGAUUCCCCCAGUAGUGGCGAGCGAACGGGGAACAGC